UUUGCCUACGGGGGGCAGCAGUGGGGAAUAUUGCACAAUGGGGGAAACCCUGAUGCAGCAACGCCGCGUGAAGGAAGACGGUUUUCGGAUUGUAAACUUCUGUUCUUAGUGAAGAAAAAUGACGGUAGCUAAGGAGCAAGCCACGGCUAACUACGUGCCAGCAGCCGCGGUAAUACGUAGGUGGCAAGAGUUGUCCGGAAUUACUGGGUGUAAAGGGAGCGCAGGCGGGAAGCCAAGUCAGCUGUGAAAACUACGGGCUUAACAUGUAGAAUGCAGUGGAAACUGGUUUUCUUGAGUGGAGUAAG
rnacentral:rRNA from 1 species